UAAUUGAAGAGUUUGAUCAUGGCUCAGAUUGAACGCUGGCGGCAGGCCUAACACAUGCAAGUCGAGCGGCAGCACAGAGGAACUUGUUCCUUGGGUGGCGAGCGGCGGACGGGUGAGUAAUGCCUGGGAAAUUGCCCGGUAGAGGGGGAUAACCAUUGGAAACGAUGGCUAAUACCGCAUAACCUCGUAAGAGCAAAGCAGGGGACCUUCGGGCCUUGCGCUA
rnacentral:rRNA from 1 species